AUAAGUGCAAUUAAAAAUAUUCUGCCUCAGUUUAUCAUUUCCACAUGUUCAUUAGAACUUACAGAUCACAGUGGAUCUACAAACACACAGAAUGUUUAGUAACAGGUAGAGAUAAUUCAAUAAAGAGCUUCCUUUUUGCUUUACAUCCAGAAGGUCGCGGGUUCCAGUCCACCACCAGCUGAAGGGGUGGGACCUUUCUAUGUGGAGUUUCCAUGUUCUCCCCGUGUCUGCUGUAAUUUCUCCAUUCCACAUUCAUCCCAGGGGCCGGACUGGACCAUCUGACAGGCCGGUUUUGACCCAUGGGCGUAUGUUUGGCACCUAUGGUUUAGACUAUUGUAAGACUUCGCUUCCAUCAGUGAAACCAAGGUUUUUCUACUUGUAGAUUCAACAGUCUGAAUCAAGAGGACGUUACUUCUAUUCUAGGUUGGACAAUGGGAGCCUCACAACCACUACACACAUCCACUGCUUUCCUUUGAUAAUAAAAGUCCUAGACUGCACUUCAGGAAUUAUUUUCUUAUUUUUUAUUUUAUUGGUUUAUUUAAUAGGGACCGUGCACAUUUAUGAACAUCGCUGUAUUAAAAUACACCCAUGUAAAUAUGCCAGAAUUAGAAAAAUAACAA